GUAUUUCUUUCCCGCCUUUAGUAGUCAUUUAAAUAAUGGUUUAGUUAGCUGAUCUUUAUGAUUGUUUGAAUGUUGGUGAUCUGGUUUUGGUAGAUCUGUCGAUGCUUUUGUUAUUUAUGCAUGUGAACUGAGAUUUGUGGAUUUGGAUGUUGAUUUUAUGGAUAUCGAAUUUUCUUGUAUUUACAUAUCGUGGUUUUCUACCCCUCGAGGUAGUUGAUUUUCAAAAUAGAGUUUUCGUGUGGGAAACAGUUUUAAAAAGAUUUUCGAAUGGUUUUCAUGAUGAAUGAAUUAGAGUUUAAAAACAAAAGCUUCCAUGUGGGGAGCACUUUUAAGUAGGAUGAUUGUUGUACUGUGCAUUGCAUCAUCCAGCGCCUAAGGAGUGCUUAGAGGCAUGCAUCAUCUCUAAGAAUUGUUAGCUGUAUGAAAAUGCAUAUCAUGAAUUGGUUGCUGAUUGGUAAAUGUAGGUUGUGGUUGUAAUCCUGUUGUAUCCGUUGGUACGCCGUGCAAAUAUAAAGGAGACUCUGUCCGAGUGGACAGAUGAACUUUGUAUUUGUGGCGGGUCUGUACGUCACGUGGGCCAGGU
rnacentral:lncRNA from 1 species